UCCUGUCUUCAGGCUGGUGGUGAGCAGCCCAUCGUGGCUCUUCUUCCCGUGUCACAGGGAUCCUUUUGGUCUUUUCGAUAGGGGUUUUCUGCUGAUGGAGCACC